GUGCACCAGUCGAGAAUCCUUCGCAAUGCGGGAAAACCGCGACGAGGGGACUCCCAGUGCCUACGCUCAGCGUAGGCUGUUCCCGAGCCUAGAAAGCUCGGGGAGUAAGGGCUGGGUAAGACGGGUGCCAGCCGCCGCGGUAAUACCCGCAGCCCGAGUGGUGGCCACUAUUAUUGGGCCUAAAGCGUCCGUAGCCGGCCCGGUAAAUGCCUGGGUAAAUCGUGAGGCCUAACCUCACGAAUUCCGGGUAGACUGCCGGGCUAGGGACCGGAGGAGGGAGAGGGUACUCCAGGGGUAGGGGUGAAAGUCCUGUAAUCCCUGGAGGACCACCGGUGGCGAAGGCGCUCUCCUAGAACGGGUCCGACGGUGAGGGACGAAAGCCAGGGGAGCGAACCGGAUUAGAUACCCCUGUAGU
rnacentral:rRNA from 1 species